rnacentral:rRNA from 1 species
UUUCAAAUUGAGAGUUUGAUCCUGGCUCAGGAUGAACGCUGGCGGCGUGCCUAAUACAUGCAAGUCGAACGCAUAGCGAAAGGUGCUUGCACCUUUC